rnacentral:rRNA from 1 species
UCAAGCUACAAAGGGCGAACGGUGGAUGCCUUGGCGCCAGAAGGCGAUGAAAGACGCGGAUAGCUGCGAUAAGCCCCGGGGAGCCGCUAAACAGGCUUAGAUCCGGGGAUCUCUGAAUGGGGGAACCCGUCCGGAGUCAUGUCCGGACAUCUCCAGCUGAAUCCAUAGGUUGGAGAGGCGAACGGGGGGAACUGAAACAUCUCAGUACCCCCAGGAAAAGAAAGCAACUGCGAUUCCCAAAGUAGUGGCGAGCGAAAUGGGAAGAGCCCAAACCCAAGAUAUGUUCAAGCCCGCAGGCGUUGUAUUUCGGGGGUUGUGGGGCGUUGUCGGAGGGACCUGCGGAUCCCUCGGGAAGUUACCAAAUCCAUUCCUAGUCGAAGGGCCUGGGAAGGCCCGCCGCAGAAGGUGAUAGUCCUGUAGGCGAAAGGAAUGGGUCUUCCUGGACGGCGCUCCCGAGUACCACGGGACACGAGAAAUCCCGUGGGAAACCGGGAGGACCAUCUUCCAAGGCUAAAUACUCCCUGGCGACCGAUAGUGAACAAGUACCGUGAGGGAAAGGUGAAAAGUACUCCGGUGAGGAGAGUGAAAUAGUACCUGAAACCGUUUGCCUACAAGCGGUAGGAGCCCCAUAUCUCGUAGCAAUACGGGAUGGGGUGACUGCGUGCCUUUUGCAUAAUGAGUCAGCGAGUUAUUCUAUGCAGCCAGGUUAAGCCGUGAGGUGUAGCCGUAGCGAAAGCGAGUCUGAAUAGGGCGAUUAGUUGCAUAGAAUAGACCCGAAGCCAGGUGAUCUACCCAUGGUCAGGGUGAAAUUUCGGUAACACGAAAUGAAGGCCCGAACCGGUGUUGGUUGAAAACAGCUCGGAUGAACUGUGGGUAGGGGUGAAAGGCCAAUCAAACCUGGAAAUAGCUGGUUCUCCCCGAAAUCUAUUUAGGUAGAGCCUUGCAAAUUAAGUGGCGGAGGUAGAGCACUGGAUGGGCUAGGGGCCCUACCAGGUUACCAACCCCAACCAAACUCCGAAUGCCGCUAACUUCUAUUGCAGGAGAAAGACUACGGGCGAUAAGGUUCGUGGUCGAGAGGGAAACAGCCCAGACCGUCAGCUAAGGUCCCGGAGCAUGUGCUAAGUGGGAAAGGAUGUGGAGUUGCUCAGACAACCAGGAGGUUGGCUUAGAAGCAGCCAUCCUUUAAAGAAAGCGUAAUAGCUCACUGGUCUAGUGANNNNNNNNNNNNNNNNNNNNNNNNNNNNNNNNNCCAGACCGUAAGGACUGGUCGACGAAAUGGAAGAGAUCAUGCUGACAUUAGUAGCGAUAAAGCCGGUGAAAAACCGGCUCGCCGUAAGCCUAAGGGUUCCUGAGUAAAGUUAAUCUUCUCAGGGUGAGUCGAUCCCUAAGCCGAGGCCGAAAGGCGUAGGCGAUGGAAAACAGGUUAAUAUUCCUGUACCACUGUUUCCACGUUCGAGCAAUGGGGGGACGUAGGAGGGUAGGCCAUCCUCGUUUUGGAAUACGAGGUCCAAGCCGGUAGGUGGACCUGCCAGGAAAAUCCGGCAGGUCGUUAACACCGAGAAGUGAUGGGGAUGCCGAGCAAUCGGCAACAAACUGGCUAAUCCCACGCUACCAAGAAAAGCCUCUAGCGAGUGGAAGGGGUGAUCGUACCGUAAACCGACACAGGUGGGCAGGGAGAAUAUCCCAAGGCGCUUGAGUGAUCCCUCGUUAAGGAACUCGGCCAAUUUACUCCGUAACUUCGGGAAAAGGAGUGUCUCGGUCCGUGAAGGGACUUGCUCCCCGAGCGGCCUGAGAUCGCAGUGAAAAGGCUGUAGCGACUGUUUAAUAAAAACACAGGUCUCUGCGAAGUCGCAAGACGAUGUAUAGGGACUGACGCCUGCCCGGUGCCGGAAGGUUAAGGGGAUUUGUUAGUGCCGCUUCGGCGGUGCGAAGCAUUGAACUGAACCCCCGGUAAACGGCGGCCGUAACUAUAACGGUCCUAAGGUAGCGAAAUUCCUUGUCGGGUAAGUUCCGACCUGCACGAAUGGCGUAACGACUUCAGCACUGUCUCAACGAGGGGCUCAGCGAAGUUGUGAGAGCGGUGAAGACGCCGCUUACCCGCGUCAAGACGGAAAGACCCCGUGCACCUUUACUAUAACUUGGCAAUGGAUUUUGGGAUAGUCUGUGUAGGAUAGGUGGGAGGCUUUGAAGCCAUGCCGCUAGGUGUGGUGGAGCCAACCUUGAAAUACCACCCUGGUUAUUCUGAAGUUCUAACUUGGACCCCUGAAUCGGGGUUGAGGACAUUGCCUGGUGGGUAGUUUGACUGGGGCGGUCGCCUCCUAAAGCGUAACGGAGGCGCACGAAGGUUCCCUCAGGCUGAUUGGAAACCAGCCGUAGAGUGUAAAGGCAUAAGGGAGCUUGACUGCGAGACUGACAAGUCGAGCAGGUGCGAAAGCAGGUCUUAGUGAUCCGG